AUACGGAGGGUCCAAGCGUUAUCCGGAUUCAUUGGGUUUAAAGGGUCCGCAGGCGGGAAAAUAAGUCAGUGGUGAAAGCCUACAGCUCAACUGUAGAACUGCCAUUGAAACUGUUUUUCUUGAGUAUAGAUGAAGUGGGCGGAAUAUAUCAUGUAGCGGUGAAAUGCACAGAUAUGAUAUAGAGCACCGAUUGCGAAGGCAGCUCACUAAACUAUUACUGACGCUCAGGGACGAAAGCGUGGGGAGCGAACAGGAUUAGAAACCCCUGUAGUCC
rnacentral:rRNA from 1 species